CGGUGAAAUUAAAUAACGGUUAUCUCCGACAUAUAUAUAAAAAAAAUGAAAUAUUCGGUGCCUAUUAAGUCAGGUAUUUUGUCAAGUAAAAUCUCUUCAGGCGACACGAAAAGGUGUCAUCGAAGUAGUCUUUUUGUUAAUCACUUCGACUUUUUGUUACUUAUUGUGACAGACCACCGGUAUAUUAUUUAAAGCUAGAUUAGCCAGAAGCUGCUCAUAACAGAGCAAAUCAAUAAUGCUAGAUACCAAGAUUAAUACCCUAACCUAGAAAAUGAGUCCGCAGCAGACGGUUCCAGCACACCCCUCAACAUCAGGAUUGACCGCAAUGAUUCUGCCAUCUGGUGCGUUAUGUCCGCGCUUAGAUACUUAGAUAAUAUGAAGAUACAAUCAAUGAAUGAGAAAGGGAGAAGAGCUCUAGUCCCCAAAUGUUUUUCUACGCUCGAGUGUAAUUGCAGUCUCUUUUCUACACACUUUGUUCGUGAGCAUUUUUUACUCGAAGUGAAUGCUUGAAUUUUCACUGUGAAGAUGCA